CAAAUCCCCUUUCUCUGUCCCCAUUCUCCGUCCGCGAUACAUCGUCGUCGCUUUCCUUCGACAAAUGCGGAGAGAAGACAAAGAUUUGGAAUUCGACCGCUGGCCAAUUCGAAGCCCCAUUUGUUCUGUACUAUAUGCCCUUAGUUCUGGAAGAUGAAGGACUGAAGUAGGUGCAAUGGCAUUGAUAGCACAUCACACACAGGGUUCUUUUUCAACACAUUCACUGAGUUGUAGUGCAUCAAGUAGAAGGGCAAAUGUGAGGUCCUCGAUUGUUCAGUUGCUGUAUAAAACACGUGUUUGUGCCCCUGAAGCAUCAUUUUCAUUUUAGCUAUCUAUGAUUGGAUUUAGAAUCAGGUUCAGAGUACUUUGCUUCCUGGAUUUGCAGUGGUACAUGUCCGGAAUGCAGAAAUUUGUUGUUUGGUUUCAUUGCUAUGGUUACCAUGUUAUCCAAAAUGAAUGGUCUAAUCCACAAAACUCACCCCCGCAGUUUGAAGAAGGUUAACAUGUUCAGCCUUACCUAUACAAUUAAAGAAAGAGGUCAUUUCCAUUGACUUUACAAACCUAAGUUGAGGACAGAAAGGCAAACUCAUCAUGGAGAUAAGGCUAACCUUUGAAGACAUUUUUAUUAUAACAUUUUUCCUCCCACUAUUCAGCAUCUUGUUGGGACAUUUCUCACUAUUCAGUAUCUUGUUAGGACAUUUCUUAAGCUUAAAAAAUCUGGAAUUUGAACAUCGUCUCUGAUUUUUAUUUUGCUGUUAGUCUU